GACGAACGCUGGCGGCGUGCUUAACACAUGCAAGUCGAGCGAAGAAACGUUAACAUUACUCUUCGGGCCGAAGCGAAGGUGGGUUGGCGGCCGACGGGAGAGUAACACGUGAGUACUGGGCCAAAGACAUUGGAAUAGCCCCGGGAAACCGGGAUUAAUACCAAAUAAAAUCAUAAUGACACAUGUCAUAACGAUCACAACUCCUGUGGUCUAGGACGGACUCUCGUCCCAUUAGCUAGUUGAUAGAGUAAAAGCCUACCAAGGCGACGACGGCUAGCCGGGCUGAGAGGGUGGGCCGCCACAUUGGAGCUGGGAAACGGUCCAAACUCCUACGGGAGGCGGCAGUGGGGAAUAGUGCACAGUGGAGGGAACUCUGAUGCAGCGACGCCGCGUGAACGAAGAAGGCUUUCGAGUCGUAAAGUUCUUUUAUAUGGGAAGAUAAUGACGGUACCAUAAGAAAAAGCCCCGGCUAACUACGUG
rnacentral:rRNA from 1 species